rnacentral:rRNA from 1 species
UACGGAGGGUGCAAGCGUUAUCCGGAUUCACUGGGCUUAAAGGGUGCGUAGGCGGGCAGGUAAGUCCGUGGUGAAAUCUCCGAGCUUAACUCGGAAACUGCCAUGGAUACUAUGUGUCUUGAAUGUUGUGGAGGUGAGCGGAAUAUGUCAUGUAGCGGUGAAAUGCUUAGAGAUGACAUAGAACACCAAUUGCGUAGGCAGCUUACUACACGAUCAUUGACGCUGAGGCACGAAAGCGUGGGGAGCAAACAGG